GCUUAACACAAGAAAUCAUUGGGCUAUUUGAUUUUCAUCAUAAAGGAGGAUCCAACAUGGCCUUUUCUCCAGCCAAGUUAUUCAAACACGCACACACAUACACACACAUGCACAACCACACACUAGCUGACUUUACAGCGGAAGUCUUUGUCUUAGUUGUCUUCCCUCCCAUCAGAGGACAACGGCACCUUUGAGUUUGGCAGAAGCGUGAAGAUGUCUGUUAAAUCAGACCAUAGCAAGGAUGAGGAGGGGAAUCAUGGGCCGGAGGUCACGGUUAUGGAGACGAACCGCUUCGGCUUCAUUCUAGGGAAUGGAGAAACUGACAGUGACGGUCCAUGUCCUGAGUUAGUGAGACAUCGAGAGUCCAAGUGGCUCAACCUCAUGACUCAAUGGGAGCAAGUGAUGGAGAAAAAGAGCAACAAGGUGUGUCUAUCUUGCUAUUGUAUACUUGUGUGUAAAAUUGUAUAUAAAAUCAAAUCUAC
rnacentral:lncRNA from 1 species